GGUGGGUCCCAGUCACACUGAUACAAAACUGAAGUUCUGUCCUCCACAAAGGAGGCAGGUGAGGGUACACAGUUGUGAAAAUAAGUCCACACCCAGAUAACUCAAAUUAUCGCUUUGCAAGUGCCAGGCUGACACUUGCAUCAUUUGCAGAGAUUCAUCGUUCCCAACAGAAUGGAGUGUUGCACUCAGUGGCUUCUUAGGACAGAAAAUCCUGACCCUGUAGUUGGGUGGAGCCCAACGGGUACUACUUCUGGCCAAUGAGUUGUGAGGGAGAAAUAAAGCAUGAAAGAUCCUGGCUGGCAAAUUGAAUUGCUGACACAAGAUCCUCCAAAGCUCCUUACUUCUGCCACUCCCAUUGGCUGAACCCAACUGGAGGUCUUAGAUGCAAAAGCAGCCUCGAAGACACAGAGCAAUAUUCCAGAGGGUGGGCCUUCAGCCUAAAUCCAGUAUAAGGACGAUCCAGAACAAAGAACCAGCUUGAUUCACAACAGACACCUAAUAUGAGUGAGAAAUUAUCCUAUAAUACUUUCCCUGAUAUUUAGGAGAUAGUCUGGCACUGCAGCAAAAGUUAGUUUUUCCUGAUUCAUACAAAGGUGAGUGUGGGGUGGAGAGGCUUAUAUAAUUUUGUGGACAAAGAUAUUUAUAAAAUGGACUACAGCUCUCACAGCUACAGUCAGUAGCUCUUGUAUUUUACUCUGAUAUUUUCAAUGACUAUAUCACCAUGAGAAAUGCAGUUGAUUUGGAUCUGAAAUUUCUUUUAAAGAUGCUCCCCAUUUGAAGAUACAGUACAAUCAAUGUGGGCAUCAGCACUGAAUGAAUAUGACUUGGGCUGUUUGCCUAUUUCUUUUGUAGUAGCUCUAUCCAAGAGAUGUCCUUCCACACAGAGACAAAAUGAAAGGAUGUCUCAAGGUGAAAGCAUCCAUCCUCCUCAGCUAGAGUACAGAUGAAGUACAUUUCUAUCCAGUAUAAGUGCUCUCUGAAAGCUUUACUGUCGCUUCAUCUCUAUUCAUGAGAACUUUAAGAGACAAAUUCUGGAAAGAAAAUGUCUUUCUUUAUGUUGGCUUCCUUAAGGCUCAAAGACUUGUUGGAAUGCAGGACAGAAUAAAUAGCAUUUCAAAUACUACAUCUGUACGUGGGGGCAGGAAAAAGGAUUUUAUUCCCCCAUGAAUUGUCAUAGAAGGAAAUGAAGAUUGCUAAAAACAUAUAUUCUAUGAAACUAUGACAGAAAAGAAAAAACAAUACUUUCAUUUUUCCAGAUUUUAUCAUUGUAAUUCUUCCAUGAAUGCUAUUAUACUGAGAUCCCUGCAGAAAUGACAUAAUUGGCCAAUGUAUUUGAGGUGUGGGUGGCAUAAUUUUAUAGACAUUAUUAUGGUUAGUGCUGUGAAAUAAUUUAGUUGUUGCCUUUCUUUUAUUUUCCUCUUUCAGUGUGUUUUAGCUCAUAACAAACUCUUUGAAACCUGUACAAUCAGGGGAAAUGAAUAUAAUAUGACUGGGAAAUUACAAAUGAAAUUUGCAAGAGAUGGGCAUUGAUUUAUCCAAGCAAAAUUGAUUUAUUCAUCCUUUUAGUGUUUUCUGGGAUAAGAAUUAAAGGUAUUUCCUGAGGUGAUAACUAUUCUUGUUAGACUUCAAAAGAUGCCAUGGAAAUGACUAGUGAGAAAGAUGAACAAGCAAAUGGAUUAGAAUAUACUGUGCAAGAUUAGAACUGUACUAAAGAUAAACCUGCUUACUAUGUUGGAAGUAAGGGAGAGGGAAUGCUAAGAAUGUGUGGUCAAGGCAUCUUGACUUCUGCUAUUACAAAUACACUCCAUCAUGACUGACGAGCAAGAGGAAACAGGUAAUCAAAGGCAGUGGACACUGAGUCUGCAUGCUAUCAUCUGAGGUUGCAUCUGGUCGUUCUGUUCUUGAAUGUUGCACACUGGCUUCCUUGUCCAACGGUGACCUUCAGCUUGUCUAAACUUGACUUUCAGUAUAAUGCUCUGACAUCUUCUGCUGGUGACCAUAAUUGCUGUCAUGACCUCUGUGAGACAUUACAGUUGGUCGUCAAUAGCUGAAUCCCCUUGAUGUCUGAGUUCUUGCAGGAACACAUUUUCUCACCAUUAGUGAAGUAUUGACUGUGAAGCCAACGAAAUUUAAGCUUCAAGGCCUGUAUUAGUUUAUAGUGACAUACGCUUGACUCUCCCUUUGUCAUACAUUGUGCCAAAUGGCAUUACAACACCAAAUAAAUUUGAUAACAGGUUUUCCUACAUUUGACAACAGUCCAAAAAAAUUACAGGAUAUUUUUACAUGAAUGACAAGCCAACCUUAAUUAAAUUAUUCUAAACUAUCAAUAAAAAUAAAUUUUCAGUCAUGCGAGAAGACUAAAUUAUCUUUUUAUUUUCCCUGUAGAAGAUACUAUAAAAUUGUUAUCAAAUAAGCAUAUGUAGCCAAAAAUAAAGGGGAAAAGCGUUAUAGAUGUGUAGAAGGUAAGCAAUUAAUUAAAAUAUUUUGUAUGCUUUUUAUUUAAAAGAGAGCCCCUAAACUUACACUACUAACUUCUGGUCCUGUGGAACCUGAAUCUAUCUGCCCCUUCCUGCCAUGGUAGAUUAUAUCUCUAUUUCCAGAUGUUCUGCCUUUUCUCUCUUUCACCAUAUAUCACCAUGUUUCUUUUCCUUCUGCUCCAAAUUCAGACAAAUAAAGGGAAAAAUGCUGCACGUCCCUUCUGGGUGGAAACGUUUCCUGGUUGGCACUUGUUUAACCACUUUCUUUGUCGUGAUCCAGAAGUCAUAAAUGCAUGUGUUGACAAAGAAGAGUCAUAACACCUGGGAGCAAACAUCAUUCUAGUUCCCUGAGUAACUACAAUGAACAGACUCCCUCCUCCCAGCCCCUCUUCACACUGCAAGGGACCUGAUUCGCGAGAAUUAAAUCUUACUGUUUUAAGCUGCAGAGCUUUGGGGAUUAUUUGUUACUCAGCAUAACCUAGUUGGACCUGACUGACACAGCCUUGGUUAUGGGGUUCACCCUGUAGGCUCCUUUGAGCUCUGGCCCACUAUCUUGGCCAUACCAGUAUCCCUCUCAAUGGACAAUGAGAACAUUUUGGAUGCUCUUCUGUACUAAUCUGGGAUGAGUAGGACACUGGGAAGCUGUUCUGUGGCAGACUUUACUAUUCUACCACUCAAGCACUAUGUUAGAUAAGAGGCUUCUCUAAGAAGCUUUUAGUCUAGCUGGACCACUCUCUAGGUAGCAAGAUACAAGUGUCUGUGGUUCUUGGUUUCUGUCUUAAACCUAUCUAGAGUGUUUCACCUAGUUUCCUUGGUCUUGGUCAACUCCUGGUACCUGCUAGCAUUUAAGGUCUAAUUAUAUGUUCUAGAUCUUCCUAGUACCAUGUAAUUACCUCAAUACUGUGAAAACUCAUGGUCGCAUGCCUUAUGUUCUUCUUUACUCUAUAACAUAUAUUAUAAAUUUAAUGCUCUAAAUUUAUAUUGGUUAACUAUUGUCAAUAUAGUGCUACAUAAUAAACAAGAGCAAAACAUCAGUAACACAAGACAAAACACGUUUGUUUUUGACUAUGGGUCCAUGGUGGCUUCUGCCAGUCAGGGUGUGGCUCAGCUAAUUUUUUUUCCAGUUUUGACUUAGCUGAUUUAGACUGGGCUUGUUCAUGCAUCCGUGAUCAACUGGUGGGUCAGCAGCAGGCCAGCCGUCCGUGAUGACUUCACCCUGCUCUAGGUAAUCUCUCAUCCUCUAGGAGGCUAACCUGGCUUGUUGUAUGGAAGAAACAGGAGUCCAAGAGAGAUAAGUACGUGUGGCCUCUUGAGGCGAAGGUUCAGAAUUCUCAUAUGCCACUUCUGCUGCAUUCUCUUGGCCAAAGCAAGUCACAAAGAUGGCCUCUUGAUGGAAGAAGCUGCAACGUCUCAAUGAAAAGAGCACGUAUAGAGGGAAGAAUGCAGAAUUGGAGCCGUUUUUAAAUUGAUCUAACCACAAGAUCCUCUAGUCUUUGGGAAUACAUAAACUGUUUUUCUGGGUGUUGUUUUUUCUUUUGUUUUGUGUUUUCUUUCUCAGUAAAGCCUGGAUCUUGAAAAUGAAA